CGGCUCAACCGGGGAAGGGUCAUUUGGAAACUGGGGAACUUUGAGUGCAGAAGAGGAGAGUGGAAUUCCACGUGUAGCGGUGAAAUGCGUAGAGAUGUGGAGGAACACCAGUGGCGAAGGCGACUCUCUGGUCUGUAACUGACGCUGAGGAGCGAAAGCGUGGGGAGCGAACAGGAUUAGAUACCCUGGUAGUCCACGCCGUAAACGAUGAGUGCUAAGUGUUAGGGGGUUUCCGCCCCUUAGUGCUGCAGCUAACGCAUUAAGCACUCCGCCUGGGGAGUACGGUCGCAAGACUGAAACUCAAAGGAAUUGACGGGGGCCCGCACAAGCGGUGGAGCAUGUGGUUUAAUUCGAAGCAACGCGAAGAACCUUACCAGGUCUUGACAUCCUCUGACAAUCCUAGAGAUAGGACGUCCCCUUCGGGGGCAGAGUGACAGGUGGUGCAUGGUUGUCGUCAGCUCGUGUCGUGAGAUGUUGGGUUAAGUCCCGCAACGAGCGCAACCCUUGAUCUUAGUUGCCAGCAUUCAGUUGGGCACUCUAAGGUGACUGCCGGUGACAAACCGGAGGAAGGUGGGGAUGACGUCAAAUCAUCAUGCCCCUUAUGACCUGGGCUACACACGUGCUACAAUGGACAGAACAAAGGGCAGCGAAACCGCGAGGUUAA
rnacentral:rRNA from 1 species